rnacentral:rRNA from 1 species
GAUGAACGCUAGCGGCAGGCCUAAUACAUGCAAGUCGAGGGGCAGCGCGGUAGCAAUACUGGCGGCGACCGGCGCACGGGUGCGUAACACGUAUGCAACCUACCUUCAACUGGAGGAUAGCCCGGGGAAACUCGGAUUAAUACUCCAUAACACAGGGAUCCCGCAUGGGAAUAUUGUUAAAGCUACGGCGGUUGAAGAUGGGCAUGCGUUCGAUUAGCUAGUUGGUGUAGGUAACGGCUCACCAAGGCUACGAUCGAUAGGGGGUCUGAGAGGAUGAUCCCCCACACUGGUACUGAGAUACGGACCAGACUCCUACGGGAGCAGCAGUAGGGAAUAUUGGUCAAUGGGCGCAAGCCUGAACCAGCUAUGCCGCGUGCAGGAAGAAGGCCCUCUGGGUUGUAAACUGCUUUUGAUAGGGAACAAAUGCCACUUGCGAGUGGAGCUGAGUGUACCUAUAGAAUAAGCACCGGCUAACUCCGUGCCAGCAGCCGACGG